GACGAACCGAGCGAACGUUGUUCGGAAUCACUGGGCUUAAAGGGCGCGUAGGCGGGUGCUCAAGUCCGGGGUGAAAUCCCACAGCUCAACUGUGGAACUGCCUCGGAUACUGGGCGUCUCGAGUGUGGUAGGGGUAUGCGGAACUAUCGGUGGAGCGGUGAAAUGCGUUGAUAUCGAUAGGAACUCCGGUGGCGAAGGCGGCAUACUGGACCACUACUGACGCUGAGGCGCGAAAGCCAGGGGAGCAAACGGG
rnacentral:rRNA from 1 species